AUUGAACGCUGGCGGCAGGCCUAACACAUGCAAGUCGAACGAGUGGCGGACGGGUGAGUAAUGUCUGGGAAACUGCCCGAUGGAGGGGGAUAACUACUGGAAACGGUAGCUAAUACCGCAUACCAUCGGAUGUGCCAAGAUGGGAUUAGCUAGUAGGUGGGGUAACGGCUAACCUAGGCCACGAUCCCUGGCUGGUCUGAGAGGAUGACCGGCCACACUGGAACUGAGACACGGUCCAGACUCCUACGGGAGGCAGCAGUGGGGAAUAUUGCACAAUGGGCGCAAGCCUGAUGCAGCCAUGCCGCGUGUGUGAAGAAGGCCUUCGGGUUGUAAAGUACUUUCAGCGAGGAGGCGUUACUCGCACAGGAAGCACCGGCUAACUCCGUGCCAGCCGCCGCGGUAAUUC
rnacentral:rRNA from 1 species